rnacentral:rRNA from 1 species
UACAGAGGUCUCAAGCGUUGUUCGGAUUCAUUGGGCGUAAAGGGUGCGUAGGCGGCGCGGUAAGUCGGGUGUGAAAUCUCGGAGCUUAACUCCGAAACUGCAUUCGAUACUGCCGUGCUUGAGGACUGGAGAGGAGACUGGAAUUUACGGUGUAGCGGUGAAAUGCGUAGAUAUCGUAAGGAAGGCCAGUGGCGAAGGCGGGUCUCUGGACAGUUCCUGACACUGAGGCACGAAGGCCAGGGGAGCAAACGGG